GCGAGCGGUAGGAGGAGGAGGAGGAGGAGGAGGAAGGGAGAGAGAGAAGAAGGGAAGGAGGGAGGCAGGUCCGGUGGCCCUCUCGGGUAGCCCCAGCGGCGAGGGAAAAUGGCGACGCUGGGAGGCGAGUCGCAGCCCUUCCCCUCUGCUGCUCUGGCGGCGGCCGCCGGGGUGGGCGGCGGCGGCGGCGGCGGCGGCAGCGGGGCGCUGGGUCUGCAGGCGCCGCUGACCCGCGGUCUGGAACGGGCGCUGGAGGAGGCGGCGCACUCCGGGGGGCUCAACCUGAGCGGCAGGAAGCUGAAGGAGUUCCCGCGCAGCGCCGCCGCCCUGAGCCACGACCUCUCGGACACGGUGCGGGCAGAUUUAUCCAAGAAUAGGUUGACUGAAGUUCCUACGGAAUUGUGCCAUUUUGUGUCACUGGAAACACUAAAUCUAUACCACAAUUGUAUCAAAGUUAUACCAGAUGCUAUAGUAAACUUACAAAUGCUAACUUACUUAAAUUUGAGUCGAAAUCAGCUUUCUUCUUUGCCAGCUUGCCUGUGUGGUCUUCCUCUAAAAGUCUUAAUUGCAAGUAACAAUAAGCUAGGUUCCCUUCCAGAAGAGAUAGGUCAGCUAAAACAGUUAAUGGAAUUGGAUGUCAGCUGUAAUGAAAUCACAGCUUUGCCACAGCAGAUAGGCCAGCUGAAAUCUUUAAAAGAACUGAAUGUCAGAAGAAAUUACCUCGAAGUUUUACCCCAAGAACUAGUACAGCUUCCCUUGGUAAAGUUUGACUUUUCCUGCAAUAAAGUGCUUGUGAUUCCAAUUUGUUUUAGAAAGAUGACGCAGUUACAAGUAUUACUGCUUGAGAAUAAUCCUUUGCAAUCUCCACCAGCACAAAUUUGUACAAAGGGUAAGGUGCAUAUAUUCAAAUAUCUGACUGUACAAGCCUGUCAGAUUAAAACAGCAGACUCGCUGUAUCUUAAUGCCAUUGAACCACAGCAUUUGCCACAGCCUGUGGAAGAGAGCAUUGAUGACAUCUACCCAAGUAAAAAGGAUUCAGAUUCAGGUGUUGGUAGUGAUAAUGGUGAUAAACGUUUGUCAGCAACAGAGCCAUCUGAUGAAGAUACUAUCAGCUUCAAUGUUCCAAUGUCGGACAUUGUGGAAGAAGAUCAUAUUAUAAAGGAUGAUUCGGGUCACCAUGCUAACUCAAGAAAAGUGGAAUUCCAUCAAGGAUCUUCUCAUACGUUUGUCAAUGAUAAGUCACGAGAAACAGAAAACCAGUUUGAUGAACAGGAUACUCUUACUACUGAAUUUAUGAGCUACAUUAAGAGCAGAGCAGCAGAGUGUGAUGAAUUAUUGAGAAUAGAAGAGGACAUGCAAUGGCAAGCAGACGAAAUAAUAAAUUUAUCAGAAGAACAAACUAUUGAUAUAGCAAUGAUAGAACAACUAAGAGAAGCUGUAGAUUUAUUACAAGAUUCCAACAGUGGUCAAUUACUGAUGGACAUGUCUUCUCUUGGUCAGAGAGAAAAUGCUGAAGAGGAACUGGAAUUCCAGAGGAGGAGGGAGUUGAUUAUGGAGAAAGCAAAGCCUGAAGCAAGAACUUGUGAACAGGGUGAAAAAUGGUCAUUGAGCCAGAAUGACCUAAUUGUUUGGAACACAAGCGGGCAAACCUCUCACAAUGAGAAUAAGGAUAAAAGUCCAACAAUGUCUCCUAUUACAAACACCACAAUUCCUUUUGGCCUGAAGCCACGAUCAGCAGACCCAUCCCUCAGUUUUCCUCCUAUCUCCUUCAACACACUUACACAGGCACAAACAUGGGACAACUUUAGCUACAGUAUCCCAUCUGAAGGAGACAGUGACAAUGUGUUCUUAAGACCACAAAGAAAUUUGGAAUCAAUAGAUCCACAGUUCACAAUUCGAAGGAAAAUGGAGCAGAUGAGAGAAGAGAGAGAGCUUGUGGAACAGCUACGUGAGAACAUAGAAACGAGACUGAAGAUCUGUUUGCCCGAAGACCUGGGCUCGGCUCUGAUGGAUGGUGUCGUUCUGUGCCAUUUAGUCAAUCACGUGCGCCCUCGGUCUGUCGGGAGCAUUCAUGUACCCUCACCAGCAGUACCUAAACUUAGCAUGGCCAAAUGCAGGAGAAACGUGGAAAACUUUUUGGAUGCAUGUAGAAAACUGGGAAUACCAGAGGCUGACCUCUGCUCUCCGUAUGACAUCCUGCAGUCGGAUAUUCGUCACAUUCGAAAGACUGUUGACACUCUGCUCGCCCUCGGGGAGAAACCCCCACAAUCAACUUCUACUUUUCGCUCCUGGGAUCUAAUAGGCUUUUGUCUUUUCCAUAUACUUUUUAUAGUCUUGAUGUAUAUAACUUAUCACUGGAAUUUGCUAACAGCAUAACCUGUUCGCAUGUGCGCACAAACUUUCUGCUUUGUCUCUGAAAAAUUACAGGAGAAGCUCUGCCUACCACAUCACAUCCUAGAAGAAAAGGGCUUGGUAAAAGUGAGCAUAACAGUUCAAGCAUUGCUAGAUGUAACCACAGUGAAACAAGCUUUAUUCACAUGAAACUACCCUCUCUCUGCUGUUACCAGCUACACUGUGCCAUGAACGAAUCAAAAACUGCCCAUUUUUUCAAACUGCAUUGAAGACAACUCCAGUACUCCAAGAGUAUUCUUAGCAUUUUAAACCUAUGUUUCAGACUGUACAUAUGUGUCGAACUACAAAGCAGAAACUGAACAGAAACAUUUUCUAGAGGAAGUUGGCACUUCACUGCUUUUAUAGCUCACUUUGUACAGUACUUACUAAAACAACACCUCUCUGCCACUUAAAAUCGUGUGGAGUACACAGCUGUCUUGCAGCAAGAUACUUUGUAUUACUAAACUAAGAGUCACUGUAAUCACCUGGGGGGAGGGAGAAGGGAGAGUAAAUCAGACUGCUACCACCUUAGGUUUUUCUGCAGUUGCUUCAGGCUAUUGCCUUUUAAAAAUAUCCAGACAUUAAAUAUUUAUAUAAAUAUUAUUUAUUAGUGAGUUGUUAUUCAUCCUUUGGAUGCAAAAUGUAAAUUAGGAAACUGUAUUUUAUUACUGCUUUUUUUGUGGUUAAACACUUUAUUUUAAUAUAAAUACUUUGUUAUUUUUUAUUCUACUUGGUGUGCAGUAGCUCUAGAUCUCCGUAAAUGGUAUUUUCUAAUAUGUAAGAUAAAAAGCAAACAAAAUAGGUGCUUCUAUUAAAAGAACAGCUAGCUGGAAUGGCAUUCUUUAUUUCUUGAAUCUGUGGAACAUUGGUAAAAAAUUGUCUGCAUUCCAUUGAGUUUCCUACAUUCCAGUAACACCUCUCCCCUCACUAGAUAGACUAAAUUGGCUGAAAGUGAGAGCACACCCAUUUUAUUUGUAUAUAGAUGUUUAAAGACAAAAGGAAAUAUGUAAACUUGAAAAACAAAUGUGAAAAAAUA